GACGAACGCUGGCGGCGCGCUUAACACAUGCAAGUCGAACGGAAAGGCCUGCUUUCCCUUGUGGAUUGCGGGUACUCGAGUGGCGAACGGGUGAGUAACACGUGAGUGAUCUGCCCCCAACUUGGGUAUAAGCCUGGGAAACUGGGUCUAAUUCCCGAUAGGACUGCAGGGUGGUGCCUGUGGUGGAAAACGAUUUUCUAGUGGUUGGGGAUGAGCUCGCGGCCUAUCAGCUUGUUGGUGGGUAAUGGCCUACCAAGGCGGCGACGGGUAGCCGGCCUGAGAGGGUGGACGGCCACAUUGGGACUGAGAUACGGCCCAGACUCCUACGGGAGGCAGCAGUGGGGAAUAUUGCACAAUGGGCGGAAGCCUGAUGCAGCGACGCCGCGUGGGGGAUGACGGCCUUCGGGUUGUAAACUCCUUUCGACCGCGAGGAAGCCACCUGGUUGGAAGGGUGGUGACGGCAGUGGUAGAAGAAGCACCGGCUAACUACGUG
rnacentral:rRNA from 1 species